rnacentral:rRNA from 1 species
CUCCGAAUGCAUCUAGAUUAGAGUUUGAUCAUGGCUCAGAUUGAACGCUGGCGGCAGGCCUAACACAUGCAAGUCGAGCGGAUGACGGGAGCUUGCUCCUUGAAUUCAGCGGCGGACGGGUGAGUAAUGCCUAGGAAUCUGCCUGGUAGUGGGGGACAACGUUUCGAAAGGAACGCUAAUACCGCAUACGUCCUACGGGAGAAAGCAGGGGACCUUCGGGCCUUGCGCUAUCAGAUGAGCCUAGGUCGGAUUAGCUAGUUGGUGGGGUAAUGGCUCACCAAGGCGACGAUCCGUAACUGGUCUGAGAGGAUGAUCAGUCACACUGGAACUGAGACACGGUCCAGACUCCUACGGGAGGCAGCAGUGGGGAAUAUUGGACAAUGGGCGAAAGCCUGAUCCAGCCAUGCCGCGUGUGUGAAGAAGGUCUUCGGAUUGUAAAGCACUUUAAGUUGGGAGGAAGGGCAGUUAA